AUAUGAUUUAUCUUCAACAAUUGUCAAGAGGUUCAGCCGUACUUAGAAGAACACUUGCGGUUUUUACAAAUGCAACAUCCGGAAUCAUCAGAUUUUUACGAGAUGCAGCAAUCUACAUUCUCGACUUGGUUUGCAAAACGGAUUCAAGAGAUGUAUGCGCUAAAUCCAUCUCAAAUUAAUGAAGAGUUAUAUGCAUUGUCUUGCCUUCCUGAUAAUCGAGUAUCGUCACACAGGGGUUAUAUCGUGAACGGGGUAAAAUUUAUAGUUAA